GAUGAACGCUAGCGGCAGGCCUAAUACAUGCAAGUCGGACGGGAUUGAGAAGCUUGCUUUUCAUGAGAGUGGCGCACGGGUGCGUAACACGUAUGUAACCUACCUUAAUCAGGGGGAUAGCCUCUCGAAAGAGAGAUUAACACCGCAUAAAAUCAAUUUAUGGCAUCAUAGAAUGAUCAAAUAUUUAUAGGAUUAAGAUGGGCAUGCGGAACAUUAGCUAGUUGGUAAGGUAACGGCUUACCAAGGCUACGAUGUUUAGGGGAUCUGAGAGGACGACCCCCCACACUGGUACUGAGACACGGACCAGACUCCUACGGGAGGCAGCAGUAAGGAAUAUUGGUCAAUGGGCGCAAGCCUGAACCAGCCAUGCCGCGUGCAGGAAGACGGCCCUACGGGUUGUAAACUGCUUUUGUACCGGAAUAAACCUUUGUAUGUAUACGAAGCUGAAUGUACGGUAAGAAUAAGGAUCGGCUAACUCCGUGCCAGCAGCCGCCGUAA
rnacentral:rRNA from 1 species